GACGAACCACACAAACGUUAUUCGGAAUUACUGGGCUUAAAGGGUGCGUAGGCGGCGCGGAAAGUAGGGUGUGAAAUCCCUCGGCUCAACCGAGGAAUUGCGCCCUAAACUACCGUGCUCGAGGGAGAUAGAGGUGAGCGGAACUUAGGGUGGAGCGGUGAAAUGCGUUGAUAUCCUAAGGAACACCGGUGGCGAAAGCGGCUCACUGGAUCUCUUCUGACGCUGAGGCACGAAAGCUAGGGUAGCGAACGGGA
rnacentral:rRNA from 1 species